rnacentral:rRNA from 1 species
AGUCACUGACAUUAGACUACCCCGGUAGUCCCAGCCGUAAACUAUGCGCGUUAGGUGUACUGGUGACCACGAGUCGACCGGGGUGCCGAAGGGAAACCGUGAAACGUGCCGCCUGGGAAGUACGGUCGCAAGGCUAGAAACUUAAAGGAAUUGGCGGGGAGCACCACAACGGGUGGAGCCUGCGGUUUAAUUGGACUCAACGCCGGAAAUCUCACCGGAUAGGACAGACAUAUGAUAGUCGGGCUGAAGACUCUACUUGAUGAUCUG